CCAUCUGUCUCCCAGACCCCUGAGUUCAAACUCCCUCAGCAUGGAGUGGGCAUGCAGGCUCCUUUUCCUGCUGGUCGCUGCCCCAGGAGUCCACUCACAAGUCCAGCUGGUGCAGUCUGGACCAGAGCUGAAGAGACCUGGAGAGUCAGUGAAGGUCUCCUGCAAAGGCUCCGGGUACACCUUCACUGACUAUGCUAUACACUGGGUGAAACAGUUGCCAGGGAAAGGCCUACAGUGGAUGGGCUGGAUAAACACCAAUACUGCAAAGCCAACACACGCUGAGGGCUUCACAGGACGAUUUGUCUUCUCCCUGGACGCCUCUGUCAGCUCAGCCUAUCUGCAGAUCAACACCCUCCAGACUGAAGACACAGCCAUGUAUUACUGUGCAAGGCACAGUGAGCAGACCACAUCCUGA